rnacentral:sRNA from 1 species
GAGCUGGUUUAUUCUGCGGCCGAGGAUUACAUUUAUGCACGAACGGUCUUACUGGCUCCAGAUUCCCCACCUGGGCACAGGCAUAGGAGGGUUGUUUUCCAAAUUGCUGGUUUUAAUUGCACCUGCCUUUCAGAUUACCUCUGGGAAUCUGUGGGAGGAGCCGAGAGGGUGGAAAAUGUUUCUUCGCUUUGCAAAAGGAAGAAAACUUUGUCACCCAGCGGGAGACCUCAGCCACGAGUAACCCGGGGAGACACCAGAACCGGGACGGGCUUUGACUGAUUUGCCUGCGAGGGUUCCGUAGGAAAGGACGCUUGAACUCGGCGCUUCGGCGGCGGCGGCGGCGCGAGUUCCCUGCUCACCCUCCCUCCCCGCGGAAGUCCCCACGAGGUGGCUUCAGGGUGUAACAGAGCGCGCGGCUCCUGUCCGAAGGCAGCGGCCGGGGGAGGGAAGGAGGGGACCGAAUCCCCGAGGAGUUUCCCAGAAUCAACUUCUGGUUAGAGUUAUGGGAAGCGCGGUUAUGGACACCAAGAAGAAAAAAGAUGUUUCCAGCCCCGGCGGGAGCGGCGGCAAGAAAAAUGCCAGCCAGAAGAGGCGUUCGCUGCGCGUGCACAUUCCGGACCUGAGCUCCUUCGCCAUGCCGCUCCUGGACGGAGACCUGGAGGGUUCCGGAAAGCAUUCCUCUCGAAAGGUGGACAGCCCCUUCGGCCCAGGCAGCCCCUCCAAAGGGUUCUUCUCCAGAGGCCCUCAGCCCCGGCCCUCCAGCCCCAUGUCUGCACCUGUGAGGCCCAAGACCAGCCCCGGCUCUCCCAAAACCGUGUUCCCGUUCUCCUACCAGGAGUCCCCGCCGCGCUCCCCUCGACGCAUGAGCUUCAGUGGGAUCUUCCGCUCCUCCUCCAAAGAGUCUUCCCCCAACUCCAACCCUGCUACCUCGCCCGGGGGCAUCAGGUUUUUCUCCCGCUCCAGAAAAACCUCCGGCCUCUCCUCCUCUCCAUCAACACCCACCCAAGUGACCAAGCAGCACACGUUUCCCCUGGAAUCCUAUAAGCACGAGCCUGAACGGUUAGAGAAUCGCAUCUAUGCCUCGUCUUCCCCUCCGGACACAGGACAGAGGUUCUGCCCGUCUUCCUUCCAGAGCCCGACCAGGCCUCCACUGGCAUCACCAACACACUAUGCUCCCUCCAAAGCCGUAAGUCUGGGCCCUUCUGUGUGUGGGGCUGCUGGGUGGCAGAGGGAGGGCAGAGCGGUUAUUGCCCCAAGCUGCACAGUCUAUCUGCAGCUGAGGCCGAGGCUGUGUGCUCCCAAUGUCUUCAGGAUAUUGUAUCAUAAAUCACAGGCUGAGGGAGAAAUGGUGAGGGCACAAUAGCAAAUGGAAAUACACAAAAAAAUAGCUGGGUGUGGUGGCUCACAUCUGUAGUCCCAGCACUCUGGGAGGCCAAGAUAGGCAGAUCACUUGAGGCCAGGAGUUCGAGACCAGCCUGGCCAACAUGGCAAAACCCUGUCUCUACCAAAACUGCAAAAAUUAGCUGGGUGUGUUGGCAUGCACCUGUAUCCCAACUACUCAGGAGGCUGAGGCAUAAGAAUUGCUUAAACCUAGGUGGCAGACACUGCAGUGAGCUGAGAUCAUGACACUGCACUCCAGCCCCUAUGUAACAGAGCAGACUCUGUCUG